UACGUAGGGAGCAAGCGUUGUUCGGAUUACUGGGCGUAAAGGGCGCGUAGGCGGCGCGGUAAGUCACUUGUGAAAUCUCUGAGCUUAACUCAGAACGGCCAAGUGAUACUGCAGUGCUUGAGUGUGGAAGGGGCAAUCGGAAUUCUUGGUGUAGCGGUGAAAUGCGUAGAUAUCGAAGAGGAACACCUGAGGUGAAGACGGGUUGCUGGGCCAACACUGAACGGCUGAUGCGCGAAAGCCAGGGAGCAAACGGG
rnacentral:rRNA from 1 species